rnacentral:tRNA from 1 species
GGAGAGGUGACCGAGUGGUUGAUGGUACUUGUCUUGAAAACAAGCGUGGGGCGACCUACCGCGAGUUCGAAUCUCGCCCUCUCCGCCA